rnacentral:rRNA from 1 species
UACGGAGGGGGCUAGCGUUGUCGGAAUCACUGGGCGUAAAGCGCACGUAGGCGGACUCUUAAGUCGGUGGUGAAAUCCUGGAGCUCAACUCCAGAACUGCCUUCGAUACUGAGAGUCUCGAGUCCGGGAGAGGUGAGUGGAACUGCGAGUGUAGAGGUGAAAUUCGUAGAUAUUCGCAAGAACACCAGUGGCGAAGGCGGCUCACUGGCCCGGUACUGACGCUGAGGUGCGAAAGCGUGGGUAGCGAACAGG